rnacentral:ncRNA from 2 species
CAAUAUGGCUAGGGGUGCCCAAAUCGUUGCGAUGCGGGCUGAGAUUACACCCUGAGAACCUGAGUCCGGUUAGUACCGGCGGAGGGAAGCUGUUCUUUGGAGAC